rnacentral:rRNA from 1 species
UGCUAAUACCGAAUGUUGUAUCUCCUCCGCAUGGAAGAGAUAUUAAAGAUGGCCUCUACUUGUAAGCUAUCGCUUUGCGAUGGGUCUGCGUCUGAUUAGCUAGUUGGUGGGGCAACGGCCUACCAAGGCGACGAUCAGUAGCCGGUCUGAGAGGAUGAACGGCCACAUUGGAACUGAGACACGGUCCAGACUCCUACGGGAGGCAGCAGUGGGGAAUCUUCCGCAAUGGGCGAAAGCCUGACGGAGCAACGCCGCGUGAGUGAAGAAGGUCUUCGGAUCGUAAAGCUCUGUUGUCGGGGACGAAUGUUGAGAGUUAGAACAUAGGUUUCAAAUGACGGUACCUGACGAGGAAGCCACGGCUAACUACGUGCCAGCAGCCGCGGUAAUACGUAGGUGGCGAGCGUUGUCCGGAAUUAUUGGGCGUAAAGGGAGCGCAGGCGGGAAGGUAAGUCUAUCUUAAAAGUGCGGGGCUCAACCCCGUGAGGGAUAGAAACUAUUUUUCUUGAGUGCAGGA